CUUGCUCCACCGGAAAAAGAGGAGUGGCGAACGGGUGAGUAACACGUGGGUAACCUGCCCAUCAGAAGGGGAUAACACUUGGAAACAGGUGCUAAUACCGUAUAACAAUCGAAACCGCAUGGUUUUGAUUUGAAAGGCGCUUUCGGGUGUCGCUGAUGGAUGGACCCGCGGUGCAUUAGCUAGUUGGUGAGGUAACGGCUCACCAAGGCCACGAUGCAUAGCCGACCUGAGAGGGUGAUCGGCCACAUUGGGACUGAGACACGGCCCAAACUCCUACGGGAGGCAGCAGUAGGGAAUCUUCGGCAAUGGACGAAAGUCUGACCGAGCAACGCCGCGUGAGUGAAGAAGGUUUUCGGAUCGUAAAACUCUGUUGUUAGAGAAGAACAAGGAUGAGAGUAACUGUUCAUCCCUUGACGGUAUCUAACCAGAAAGCCACGGCUAACUACGUGCCAGCAGCCGCGGUAAUACGUAGGUGGCAAGCGUUGUCCGGAUUUAUUGGGCGUAAAGCGAGCGCAGGCGGUUUCUUAAGUCUGAUGUGAAAGCCCCCGGCUCAACCGGGGAGGGUCAUUGGAAACUGGGAGACUUGAGUGCAGAAGAGGAGAGUGGAAUUCCAUGUGUAGCGGUGAAAUGCGUAGAUAUAUGGAGGAACACCAGUGGCGAAGGCGGCUCUCUGGUCUGUAACUGACGCUGAGGCUCGAAAGCGUGGGGAGCAAACAGGAUUAGAUACCCUGGUAGUCCACGCCGUAAACGAUGAGUGCUAAGUGUUGGAGGGUUUCCGCCCUUCAGUGCUGCAGCUAACGCAUUAAGCACUCCGCCUGGGGAGUACGACCGCAAGGUUGAAACUCAAAGGAAUUGACGGGGGCCCGCACAAGCGGUGGAGCAUGUGGUUUAAUUCGAAGCAACGCGAAGAACCUUACCAGGUCUUGACAUCCUUUGACCACUCUAGAGAUAGAGCUUCCCCUUCGGGGGCAAAGUGACAGGUGGUGCAUGGUUGUCCUCACCUCCUGUCCUGAAAUGUUGGGUUAAGUCCC
rnacentral:rRNA from 1 species